rnacentral:tRNA from 1 species
GCCCGAGUGGUGGAAUGGUAGACACGACGGAUUCAAAAUCCGUUGCCGCAAGGCGUGCCGGUUCGAGCCCGGCCUCGGGUACCA